GAUGAAGAACGUAGCGAACUGCGAUAAGUAAUGUGAAUUGCAGAAUUCAGUGAAUCAUCGAGUCUUUGAACGCACAUUGCGCCCCCUGGCAUUCCGGGGGGCAUGCCUGUCCGAGCGUCAUUGCUGCCCUUCAAGCCCGGCUUGUGUGUUGGGUCGUCGUCCCCCCCGGGGGACGGGCCCGAAAGGCAGCGGCGGCACCGCGUCCGGUCCUCGAGCGUAUGGGGCUUUGUCACCCGCUCGAUUAGGGCCGGCCGGGCGCCAGCCGGCGUCUCCAACCUUCUAUUUUACCAGGUUGACCUCGGAUCAGGUAGGGAUACCCGCUGAACUUAAGCAUAUCAAAGCGGAGGA
rnacentral:misc_RNA from 1 species